UACAUGACUCUCGGCAAUGGAUAUCUCGGCUCUCGCAUCGAUGAAGAGCGCAGCGAAAUGCGAUACGUGGUGCGAAUUGCAGAAUCCCGUGAACCAUCGAGUUUUUGAACGCAAGUUGCGCCUGAGGCCAGCCGGCCAAGGGCACGUCCGCCUGGGCGUCAAGC
rnacentral:rRNA from 1 species